rnacentral:rRNA from 1 species
CAAAGGAGACUGCCAGUGAUAAACUGGAGGAAGGUGGGGAUGACGUCAAGUCAUCAUGGCCCUUACGGCCAGGGCUACACACGUGCUACAAUGGCAUAUACAAAGAGAAGCGACCUCGCGAGAGCAAGCGGACCUCAUAAAGUAUGUCGUAGUCCGGAUUGGAGUCUGCAACUCGACUCCAUGAAGUCGGAAUCGCUAGUAAUCGUAGAUCAGAAUGCUACGGUGAAUACGUUCCCGGGCCUUGUACACACCGCCCGUCACACCAUGGGAGUGGGUUGCAAAAGAAGUAGGUAGCUUAACCUUCGGGAGGG